rnacentral:rRNA from 1 species
UACAGAGGGGGCAAGCGUUAUUCGGAAUUAUUGGGCGUAAAGGGCGCGUAGGCGGCAUGGCAAGUGGAAGGUGAAAUCCCCAGGCUUAACCUGGGAACUGCAUCCGAUACUGGAUGGCUUGAAUCCGGGAGAGGGAUGCAGAAUUCCAGGUGUAGCGGUGAAAUGCGUAGAUAUCUGGAGGAAUACCGGUGGCGAAGGCGGCAUCCUGGACCGGCAUUGACGCUGAUGAGCGAAAGCUAGGGGAGCAAACGGG